AGAGGCCCAAAAGAAGGGUGCUGGGCCCCCGAGGUAGCCACAUGCCCCUCCUCCCUCUCUCCCUCUCUCUCACCCCCUUCAAUCCUAACCGACUUGAAUCCUUCAUGACAAAUCCAACAUGUGAAGAUGAAUUCUUGUCGCUGAUGUAAAUGGGGGAGGCCCCUCCCCCAGCUGUCCCCAAGGCUCCAGGCAUCAGAGGGGAGCAAUUCCAGGCCACGACCGGUGACCGCUCCUCGGAGGUGGGGAGGGGCGGCGGCCCUGGAUGUCGUCAACCUGACUUCAUCUCUGGGGCCGCGGGAAGCCAGCGCCACCCACACGGUGUCCCGUGUUCAGGCAAUAGAGGAAAAGUGAAAAGAGCUUCCACCUCCGCCUCGCGCCCUCCGCGAGAGGGAGAGAUGCUUCUGUCCCUCGCGUUCCCACAGUGAGAUCAUAACUCAAAAGAGCCUCCAAAGACAGAAGGGACCACGGAAGUCACAGAAACACCACCCAGGAGAGAGAAACACCAAGCAACUGCCCACUGAGCACCCAGAGGAAUCUGAUGAAUGCUGUGAGUCACAGCGACAGGAACUACAGCUGGAGACUUAGCAACGCUCUCCCCUAUCGUGUUGGCUGAAUGACGGGACAUCCCCAGCUCCAGAGAGUAUCUCCCCGCGAGAGCUACGACGCUGGCCGGGGGAGCACCCAGCUGCAGGCCCGACGGAGCAGGGGUCGGGACGGGCCUGACUCAGCCUCCCGGGGCCACGCGGCCAGCGACACGCGGCGUAAUGAACGGAACUGAGGGGGUGGCGUGAAGCGAGGUGAGCCAGCAAGAGAAAGGCAAAUCAUGGAUGAUUUCACAUAUUUGAGGAACAUAAGAAAGUGAAUAAACCAACAAAGCGAAAUACAAAUCAAGCGGUGGGCACGGGCCGCAGAGCUGAGAAGAGGGUCGGGGGAG